UGUUAUCGUCUCCGCGUUUCAUCGGACUGCCUCCGUAAUCCCGUGCCUCCCCACGACCUCGCGACACCGCCCCACGACGCCGCUGCCUACCAACCUCCCCCUGACGCUGCCGUCCUCUGGAUCUGGAUCUGGCCCUCCGUCCGCUGGUGGUUGUCCUCGUGCCUGGCAUCCUCUCCUCCGCUCCUAACCCAGUCACAAAAGGAAACUUCGCUCCCCUGAUUCGGCCGCCCGGCAGUUUCGCGACGCCACCGAUCUUGCGCGGCCGUCAUCGCCAUCGCGCGGGGACCCUCAUCCUCGCUCCGCAUGCAGCCGGCCACCGUCGUUCGUAUCCGCCGCUCCCCAUCGUCACCCUCACCCGCAGCUCACUGCGUCGCCGUCGGAUGCCGCACGGAAGCUGGCGAGGAGGCCACGACACGGCGGCACCAUUGAGGCCAUGCCAUGGCGAUAGACCACGACGCGGGAUGCUGGGCUGCUGGCAACAGCUAGGCAGAAGUACGGUAUGGCCCAGCCUCGGUGUGGCCAUGUGGGGCAGUCGCCGGCGCUGGAAUCAACUACGACGGGAUAAAGGUGCAGGCAUGCGGCAGCGACGGCAAUGUUGGAGCAAGCUCCAUCGAUCUUUCAAAGAUGAGUAGUGGUGGGCUGGUGGCAGUGUCAUCGGAGGGAGUGGGACCUAUCGGCUGAUAGAAAAUGGAGAUUGCUGGUGCAUAGAAGUUUUGAACGAAGCUGCUGCCAGAGAACCCUACUGAUGUGCUUUGCUAGGUGUAUAUGUACAUUAAUAAUUUAUGCAUCAUUCCUAAAUUUUCCUCAGGAAUUUGUGUAAUUCUUUUAACCCAUAUUUAGUAUUCGGUAUAUAUGGUGAUGUUGAAGGUGGAGCCUAAUGCAAACAAGGUAAUGGAACAUCACUGGAAGUAUAAGAGCCUGAGCUAUUCUUCUGCUUUCACUUUCUAAACUUCCAUGUACCAUGACUAAAACUGCGAAUUGACUUUGUUAAAAUUAAACUAAGCACCAAUCUUUUAGUAUACUCUUGUCAUUCAACAGAUCAGGGGACACAAGAUCUGCCUUUCUCUUUCUUACUUCCUGCUAAAUAUUGAUAAUAGAGAGCCUUCAGGUUUCAUUGAAAUCGAUGUGAUGGUAGGUUUUUUUAUUGCUAAAUUGAAUGGUUUGGUUGUGCAAAAUAAGGAUCUGCAGAGAUCUAUAUGUAUCUAACUCCCUUUUCAUUCAGAUUUCAUGGAAUUCUCUAGCGAAUCUAUAGUUGCUUGCAUUGUGACUCUAUUCUAUCCUUUAAAACUUCAUUUUGAUAUUAGAUAUAUAUUCUAUCUUGUAGUACCAGGUAGAAUGAAUAUGAGACCUGUAUGCAGAAAAAGGUUUUUUUCCUUGCUAAAUUGAAUGGUUUGGUUGUGCAAAAUCAGGAUCUACAAAGAUCUAUAUAUAUUUAGUUCACUUGGAGAGGGUAUGUAUUACUUUUCUCACUAUCAAAUUUAAGCUUCACUAAUAUGUAUCUAACUCUCUUUUCAUUAGCUUUUAUUUGUUUCAUUAAUUUAUUGCUGAUUGCAGCUUGUCAAUCUUGUCAAAAUGACAGAUCAUGACCAGCUAUGCGGACACACUAGCGGUUUCAUCCCAGUAGGCAGUGAUUGUUGAGAUGGUAUUUUUUUUGUUCAAGCACAACAUUAUGAUCAAUUAUGGCUAGAGUUGGUGACCCUGUCAUGCCAUCUGCCCUCCCCGUGAACCUGAGCACCUUGUCGAUUCCUAGGUGUUUAGAAAGAUUGCAAUUGUAACCACAAAUCAUAUGUUUUAAUCUAAUUCAUGGCAUUGCAAGUUAAUUCUGGAUUUAUGCUAGCCUGCAAAUUACACAGUCAGGUAUGUGGUUAUGGCACUCAAAUUCCAACUAGAUUCUCUUAUAAAAUCAAUUUAUUAACUAGCAGUGCUUCUGGGAUAUUUGUGGUUAAAUUUAUUUUUGUUUAAUUCAUGUAUACGAAGACUAACUGAUGUGCUGCUAUGAUACUAGGCUGCUUGGAAAUUAGGGGUUAAAUUUAUUCUUGUUUAAUUCAUGUAUAUGAAAACUAACUGAUGUGUUGGUAAGGUACCAAGCUGAGAGAGACAAGAUCAGUAAACCAACAAACUCCAUUAAUGAAACAUGGGGCAAUGACUGUACCUGUCAAAAUAAAAUAAUACUAUGAAACCACUUAUAUUUUGAUAGAAAGACAAUUUUGGAAGAGAGAAAUAGUAGUGCCUUCACCAUUUACGACGGAUGGCACUAGGAGAUCAUCCAAUGAGCCACUAUAUUGUUUUAACCAUGUUUACAAACUUUGCUUGAUAUAUGUUAGUUGAAUUGAUUUUUAAUUAAUGCCUAAUUUAGUAACAGACUCACUAUAUCAUGGAUUUGCAUAAUGAGCCAUGUACCAAUUGUAAAUGUUUUUGCUUUGUACCACAUAUGGGUAUGUUGAAAUAAAAUCAUGCAUGGGGCUAUUUCUCGUGUUGUCAUAAUGUUAGGAAGGUAAGAAUAGAAGUUUCUAAACCCACAGGAACAUAUGUGAUGUUCCCUCUGUAAUGAUUUUCCCCUUUAUUUUAAGUAGGUCCAGAUUGUGAUCCCGCACUGGCAAGGCAGCGACAACACAAAGACAUGAGUACAUGAGCGUGGUGAGGGUGGAGAGAGGAUGCAAACAUGUGGAUCUAGGGUUAAGAAGAGCAGUGUUGGUAUGGAAUUUGUCUUAUACUUGACAUUAAAAUCUUAGUGUGUCACUUUAUUACGAGGGAUUUUAGACUUUUGAUAUCAUCUACAUGGGAGCUUUUUCUUGUGAGAAUGACAUACACGUUCAAACUUGAAUCAUCAUUGUAUUUUUUUUUCUCAUUGCAACGCAACCAGGUGAUUCAUCUAAGCUAAUGGCAUGGUGGAUUUUGUACCUGCCUAAGUGUAGACUUUGAACAAUGCUAGAAAUAGAGAAAUCUGCUAGCUGUAGCUACAGAGAUUUGAUGUCA